CAAUUUUCUUCUCCAUAAUAUAGGCAGGUACAACACACUAAAAGUUAAAGUUAAAUCCACACAAUUAAUCUGCAUGAAAUGCACCUUUUCUUACCUAUAUAUAUGUACAUAUUUUCAUAGCAAGUUUCACUGCAACCAAAUCCAGUUUUCAUCCUUUAUCUAUAUGUUUGGCUAUAUCAUGAUUAACUACUCAAAAGUCAAAGAUAAGUGGAGUGCAAGAAGCACAAGAAGCACAAAAAAAGUAGCAAACUACUUCCAACCUUCUUCUUGAUGGGCAUUUCUUCAUCAACUGGGGAAUCCUUCAUCCAGCAUAGCUUUCGAGAAGAAAAUCAAGUGGCAGAUACAUUAGCUAAGGAGGGAUCUAGGAUGCAACAAGCAAAACUCUUUUGUGCAAUGACAGUUCCGCCUUUGUUUGUAUUUAACAAGGUGGAAAUCGAUAAAGUAGAAACUCUUUUUGUUAAAUUGAAAAGGCUUCUAAUGAAUUUGGGAAUUUGUAAUAACUAUGAAACCUCCCAUGAUAAUAAUUCUAGCUAGCAGACUAGCUGUCAUGCCACUCCUUUGUAAUAAUACAUAUUCUAUUAAGUUCUAUUAAUGUAUUAUCUUCGUUUUACCAAAAAAUAUAAAAUAAAAAAUAUGUGUGUAAAAAGUUAUGAUAUAA